GCCGGAGCUGGAAGCGAAGCCCCCCAUCAUGAUACAAUAUGUAUCAUGAUGGGGGGCUUCGCUAUGCAGGCAAGAACAUC
rnacentral:sRNA from 1 species